rnacentral:rRNA from 1 species
CGGGAAUUAUUGGGCGUAAGCGCGCGCAGGUGGUUUCUUAAGUCUGAUGUGAAAGCCCACGGCCCUACCGUGGAGGGUCAUUGGAAACUGGGAGACUUGAGUGCCCAUUAGGAGAGUGGAAUUCCAUGUGUAGCGGUGAAAUGCGUAGAGAUAUGGAGGAACACCAGUGGCGAAGGCGACUUUCUGGUCUGUAACUGACACUGAGGCGCGAAAGCGUGGGGAGCAAACAGGAUUAUAUACCCUGGUAGUCCACGCCGUAAGCGAUGAGUGCUAAGUGUUAUAGGGUUUCCUCCC